rnacentral:rRNA from 1 species
AAAUUGAAGAGUUUGAUCAUGGCUCAGAUUGAACGCUGGCGGCAGGCCUAACACAUGCAAGUCGAACGGUAACAGGAAGCAGCUUGCUGCUUCGCUGAUGAGUGGCGGACGGGUGAGUAAUGUCUGGGAAACUGCCUGAUGGAGGGGGAUAACUACUGGAAACGGUAGCUAAUACCGCAUAACGUUGAAAGACCAAAGAGGGGGACCUUCGGGCCUCUUGCCAUCGGAUGUGCCCAGAUGGGAUUAGCUUGUUGGUGGGGUAA